UGGGAGAGAAAAAAAAGAAUCUUUGGCGAUUUUGGCUUGAGUCUUUGGAACGGGACACCAGCCUCAUUUUUCUCCGCUUAGCCUCCAAAUAUCCCACUCUACAGGUUGCCGACCCUGAAUCAUUCCUGGAUUCUUCCCCCCCACCCCCACCCCACCCGCCCCUGACCCGGCCCCCUUUGCCCAAACAAACCCCUUACAUCUUGAAGGUCAGAACCCUGGACAGCUUUUUACACAGCCACCAGAUGGUGUUUGCUUUAGCAUAGAUCCACAAAUGAUGUGUUGUUAUAGGAGAGGUGCAGAAAAUUAUAUGACAAAACUGGGUUUGUUUCUCUGCUAGAAACCCAAGGCUGAAAUACUGCAGUAUUCCUUCAAGCCUGACUCCGAAGACGAAAGGGAGACUUUCCCAGAAUUAGGGGGCAUUCAUCAGGGACCAGAGUGGGAAAAAAAAUAACACUGCACUGGUCACUAGUGGCUGAGCUAGUGGUUUAUUUUCUGUCUGUGUUUUCUUAAAUUCAAGUUUUCUAGCUACAUGAUUUUUUUUUUUUUUUUUUUUUUUUUUGGCCGCCCUGAGGCAUAUGGGGCCAGGGAUCAGAUCUGAGCCGCAGUCGUGACCUAAACUGCAGCUGCAGCAAUGCCAGAUUCUUAACCCACGGUGCUGGGCCAGGAAUCAAACCUGCAUCCCAGCGCUCCCACGAUGCCGCCAAUCACAGUUGGAACUCCUUAAAUUCAAGUUUUUCCCUUGACUUCUCCUCGUGUGAUUUCUUUCUGCCUCUGGAUGUCCCCCAGCCCCCUCAGAAGAUUAUCACCUGAUAAUAGAAUGGGCCUCACAACGAGCUGAGACUUAUCACCUGGAUUUCAUGAAGGAACAGGAAUGGGAUGAGUACUGGGUUAGUGCCAGGGUGUUUGGUAAGGGCUGAAUGCCCACUCAGUGCAUAAUACCAUUUUUGGCGGAAUGGCCGUAUCCUGGGGAUUGGGGUUGACUCUAAAGGAAAUGAUCAGGGGAGUUCCUGUCAUGGCUCAGUGCUUAACGAAUCCAACUAGAAGCCAUGAGGUUGCGGGUUCGAUCCCUGGCCUUGUUCAGUGGGUUAAGGAUUCAGCAUUGCCGUGAGCUGUGGUGUAGGUCGCAGACGCGGCUUGGAUCCCGAGUUGCUGUGGCUCUGGUGUAGGCGGUGGCUACAGCUCCAAUUCGACCCCUAGCCUGGGAACCUCUGUAUGCCACGGGAGUGGCCCAAGAAAUUGCAAAAAGACAAAAAUAAAUAAAUAAAUAAAUAAAUAAAUAAAUAAAUAAAUAAGAAAAUGAUCAGGAAAUGAGUUUCAUUCAAGGAGAUGUUGGCAUGUCCUUGAAGCCAGCAUGGUAUCACUGUCUUUCCUCCCCUUUAGUUAAGACUCCUAGGACAAUACUGGGGAAAUUUAUCUAAUUUCUGCCCCACUUUCCUUUUUUUUUUUUUUUGCCUUUUUUAGGGCCACACUUGCAGCACAUGCCAGUUCCCAGGCGAGGGGUCGAAUCGGAGCUGCAGCUGCCGGCCUAUGCAACAGCCACAGCAAUGGCAGAUCCUUGAACCUACUGAGUAAGGCCAGGGAUCAAACCCGUAUCCUCAUGGAUACUAGUCAGGUUCUUAACCUGCUGAGCCACUGUGGGAACUCCCCACUUUCCUUGUUUUUAGAAAAGUAAACUUGGAACCACACAGUAGCUUAGAAGGAUCUUGAAUCCUGAGCGCUUUGCCUUUCUGGUCUGAGGGGACCAGGCCCCAGGCUCUCUGGAACCUGUUCCUUCUCAGUCUAGAGGAAGGAAAGGUGAGAAAGCGACCAUCACAUUAGUGGUGGAGCCAGGUGGGGUUCCACCAUUUACCAUCUCCCCUGGCCCUCAGGUCAAGGUCAAGUUUGCACGUAAAGGCCGAGCAAUGGGAAUAGUUUGGAAUCUUCGAGAGCGAAGGGUUCGAUUGAACUUGAGCAAAUCUCUGAGCUCCAGGUUUCUCAUCUGUAAAUGGGGUGAAUAUAACCUGCCUUGCUUUCACGAAAGUUGAAUGUUAUGGUAUGUAAUGAAGAACUUUAUACAAAAAUAUAAUUUUAUACCUAUGUUCUUAUGUGGUAGCCACUAGCCACUUGUCUCUAUUAAAAUUUAAUUAAAAUUGGAGUUCCCGUCAUGAUGUGAUAUCUUAAGUUAUUUAAAUCGUGGCUUGUUAAGCUGUGGGUGCUGCUGUCACUCUGCCUCUAUACCAUAUGGGAAAAUACAAGUCUACACGGUCACUGUCCUUACGCUCUGCCCAGGGAAGGACCGUGAACUUCACUCUGGGAGAAUGAAGGAGGAAGCAUGGUAGUUUUAAGCCCAAGGGGGUGCCAGACAAGGCAGUUUUGUCUCCAGUUUCGUCUCUUCCUGAACCAGAGAAGAAGUCCAUCCUUCAGGCAUUGAACUCCCUUCCAGUGGGUGGGAGCUGGAGGGAAGGCCCUGUUUCCAGGCAGGAAGAAGCCGAGAUAACCAGGACUUUCGGCUUCCUCUGCGGCUCCCCUGCAGUGCGUAGCGGCAGCCGGGGGAGCGGGGGCAUGGCUGUGUCACUGUGCCCCCAGUCUUCUGAGGGAAGGAAGUGAAGAAUCUUAGGCACCCGUGUCUCCUGGUCCAGGUGAGGCCUCCAGGCACACGCGAGACCCUGGAGCAGGUGCUGAGAUGAGAGACAGUAGCAGUGAGCCUCCCAGCCCAGAAGGGGCCGGGGUGGGUGUAUGUGGGUGGGUGGGCGGGCUUGACCAGGCAGCAGGCAAGCCCUGCAGUCAUCUGGGAAGAAUGCUGAGGAGAUAACGGGGCUGGGUCUUCCCCAGGGUGGACGUGGGAUCUGCUGGAGCGGGGAGCGGGGACUUAGGGCCGCCACUGAUAGGAGGUUUUUCCACCCAUGGCGGCAGCUCUUUCUCCUGUGAAUGGAGGGAUGGAGCCAGGCCCUGAGCUGUGCCUGGCCCAGGCGACGAUCCCCCUGGGGGUGAGGUCAUGGUGGCUGGGGGCAGGGUGGGGGGGGAAGGUCAGAUGUCCAGUUUCCGUCACCUUAUGGGUCCCUGGAGACCACCCAGCUUCCUCUGGCUCAGCUGAUAGUUUCAGAGGCCCUGGCACUAAGAUUAGGGAGGACUCUUGUGGUUGCAAAUUAUGAAAAACGUACUGGAGUACAAGGUGGAGAUUGAAAGCGAGGAGGGCUGUUAGGAGUAGGAGGAGCCAGAGGUCAGGAAAACUAAGCAGGGUCAGCACGGGGACCAAGGAUUGGGAGGAUAACACGCCCACCCCCUCUCCCCCACCCCCACCUCUCCUUUCUGCUUCCCUCUCUUCCAGAGCUUCUUCGGGGAUUGGCUGCAGGGUGGGGCGGGGGUGCCCUAAAUGCACUCUGAGGAACCCUGUCCCUCUCCCCGGGUCCCCAUUCCACAUUCUCCAGGAAGGGUCAGUGCCUUACCCACGGUCCAGUGGGGCCCGGGUUCUGCCCUCCAGAUGGCACCUUCCCACUGUGGCCGAGGAGGGCCAGUUAAGCAGGGGUCCCUUGGAGCUGCCCACACCCCCGCAAAGGGCCUCCCCCUAAGGGAAGUUGGCCCCAGCGAGGGAGGGCGCAGACGUGGCCACUUCAAGGACGGACCAAAAAAAAGUGGGGAAACGUGAAGGUUCGGGAACGGCUGGGGUGCCCGGCCCCUCACUGCGGCCCCAGUCAUCACCUCCCAGGGGUGCUGUCCUGGGGCUCCCGCGAGGGGACCAGGUCCCCUGAGGUGGGUGUCCCGCCGCCUCCUGCUGGGCCCUGGAGCAGCCACCUGAGACUGACCCUCAGGGCCCUUCUCUCAGGAAAGUCUCCUGUCCCCCGCUGGGCUGUGAGCCCCUUGGGGGAUGGAGCUGUGUACAGGGGGUGACUGGGGACUCUUAGAUCUCCCGGUGCCCUGCACACCACCCUCCGUGAGCGCUCAGGGUGGGACGGGGUGAGGCAGGUGCUCUUGGCUCCCGAGUUCCCAUGAACACAAGCACGAUGACCAGGGAACGGUUCACUGUUUCUCCAUCUUGGUUGCAUUUGCAACGGGUCACUUCUUGUUUAACCGUAGUUAUCUUUGUCCUUCAGUUAUUUCACUAGAGACCGUUGUGUCCUCAACUCCAUUUUGGUUCCUCUGGCCUGUGCCUUAUUUCUCUGCAGUGCUCCGACUGGAAGAUCAUAUUAACCUGUCUGCCUUGCACCGGGUCCCCGGGGAGGGGGUGGGGCUGGAGGAGUGUGUGGCAUAAGACACAGUAAAGGCGGUAUCCCUCUAGCACAGCCAAGUCUCUUGCGGCUUGGGGAGGGUAUGGGGCUCCCCCAGAGCCCCUGACACCCUGCUGGGCGUGGGAGUGGACACCUGGUCAGCAGUGACCAAGGGGAAGAGGGCAGACAGCAUCCUCCACAAAGCCGGUCACCCCAACAUCCCCUUGGUGCCUGGGGCAGAGGGCAGGGGUAUUUCUGGCUGUAUUCGCAGUGUGGACAGAGAGCCCGGCCCUCACGCUGGCAGAGCAGACGUAGCAUCAGCCAUCUGUUGGGGCGCCUCGCCCUUCAGAGGCAUGAUUCACUUGGGAGUGAUGCGCACCCCUGCCCCCACCCCUCCCCCGCCGGCCUCGCCCCUGUUGUGGUGUGGUUGUCAUAGAAGAAAGGAGGAGCCACCUUCCUGGCCUCUUGACAGGCCCCUCCUACCUUCCCUCCCACAAGCCAGGCUGGCCCCUGCUCCUGCCAGCAGAGCAAGCGCACCUCUUAGCCGCCAGCUUCUCCUCGCCAGUGCAUGGGCAUCUGCCCUCCUCCGCUUCCUCCUGGACGCAGUGUCCGAGAUUCAGGAGGGCUGAGUAUAGAGGUGGAAGACAUGCACUUUGAUGGCAGACUAGUAUGAGUCCCACUCUGCCCCUCAACUGGCUGUGUGGCCUUACACGUUGCUUAAUGUCUCUGAACUUCAGUUUUCUCAUCUAUAAAAUGGGGAUGGUGGUAUCUCCCUCGUGGCAUCGUCCUUAGGAUUAAAUGAGCAGAGGGUGAUUUGCACAGUGCUGACACACGCUAUGGUGUCACGAUGGGCAGCUGCAGAUAUAUGAAGGAAGGCCUCUGAUCUGUGUGCUGCCAAAAGAAGCUUGGGGUUGGGGCUGUCCCUCUUUGAGGGGGAAUUCCAGUCAAGCCACUGGGGUUUGAGAGGAGCUGGCGUGGAGACUGGAAAGAUGCAGUGCCUUUGUGCCCCAGCCGUUCACUCUCCACAUCCAUCCCUCCUCUCCCAGAACUGAGUUUCAUCCCCACGGAGCAGAAAGCAGACCCUAGGGGUCAUUUGACGUCUAGAAAGCCCCCCUCUUUUCCUCCUUGGGCCAGGAGGGAAGGCAUUCUAGACUCACAUUUAUCAUGACUGUAUUCAGCAAGCAUUUACUGUGUGUACCAUGUGCCAGGCAUUUUUGUGGGUGCUGGAACUGAGCCCCCCUGCCUCCAUGAAGGCCUGGGAAGGCCCUCUCGGGAGACCUGGACACCCUGCUCUUGCAUUGGAACCUUCAGUGUCUCCCUGUUGCCCACAGGUGACAUACAAGCCCCUUGUCGCCUGGUGCCCGCCACCUCCACUUGUCUUGCUGGCAUUUCCUGCUUGACUCUCUCACAGGCGCUUUACUCCCCAAGAUCCCCCUUCUUUCUGUUCCAGGGCGGUUGGCACUUGGCUGCGGUUGCUCCUGCCUCUGUCUGCCUGAGUUUCCCAGCGCUUCUCCUAGGGCCAGCUCAAGUGGUUGUUGAGUCCGCCACGAAGCUGUCCCAGCCACUGAGCACCACGGGAGUUAUUCUCCUGGGCCACGCACAUGCCUUGACCCUGAUGAGAUCUGUCCCGCCUGCCAUAUAGGCCUGUGAGUUGGGCCACCUCAGCUCUGCUGAUGGUGUGCAGUGAUGGUGCUUAAGAAGCAUUUCCCCUAGAGUUCCCAUCGUGGCUCAGUGGUUAGCGAAUCUGACUAGGAACGAUGGCGUUGUGGGUUCGAUCCCUGGCCUUGCUCAGUGGGUUAAGGAUCCAGUGUUGCUGUGGUGUAGGUUGCAGACGCGGCUCAGAUCCUGCAUUGCUGUGGCUCUGGCGUAGGCUGGUGGCUACAGCUCCGAUUAGACCCCUAGCCUGGGAACUUCCAUAUGCCAUGGGAGUGGCCCAAGAAAUGGCAAAAAGACCAAAAAGAAAAAAAAA
rnacentral:lncRNA from 1 species